AUUGAACGCUGGCGGCAUGCCUUACACAUGCAAGUCGAACGGUAACAGGUCUUCGGAUGCUGACGAGUGGCGAACGGGUGAGUAAUACAUCGGAACGUGCCCGAGAGUGGGGGAUAACGAGGCGAAAGCUUUGCUAAUACCGCAUACGAUCUCAGGAUGAAAGCAGGGGACCGCAAGGCCUUGCGCUCACGGAGCGGCCGAUGGCAGAUUAGGUAGUUGGUGGGAUAAAAGCUUACCAAGCCGACGAUCUGUAGCUGGUCUGAGAGGACGACCAGCCACACUGGGCCUGAGACACGGCCCAGACUCCUACGGGAGGCAGCAGUGGGGAAUUUUGGACAAGGGGCGCAAGCCUGAUCCAGCCAUGCCGCGUGCAGGUUGAAGGCCUUCGGGUUGUAAACUGCUUUUGUACGGAACGAAAAGACUCUGGUUAAUACCUGGGGUCCAUGACGGUACCGUAAGAAUAAGCACCGGCUAACUACGUGCCAGCCGCCGCCGUAACAC
rnacentral:rRNA from 1 species